UCCAGCAUGUCUGGCCAUGGGAACCCGAAUGCAGACAUAACGGGAGCGCAUCCCUGCCGAACCCCCUCGCAGAGGGACCUGCAUGGCUGGAUAGACUCAUCUAGGUCAUCAAGGCACACCGGAGCAAAGAGAGAGCACAGGAACUUUCUGGUGUCCGGGUGGCACUGCUUUUGGACCAGGGGGAUCCAGGACGAAGCCUGCUGCAGGACCUCCUUCAUGGUUUCGUGGCCGAGCAGGUUGGGCAGCCGCAUGUCGGUGUACUCCAUGUCGUGGCAGAGCAGCAGAGACGCAGGGAUCGGUUUGCAGUUGCUCCUCUUCUGAAACAGGAAAAGUGCCAAAGCAACAGUGAAAAGCUGAAAAGCAAAAUCAGGACGAUGUCUCACUGCAGAAUGUGGGAGAGAGUGCAGGACGGGGCAGAGGUAGAUCAUGUGUUAUCGGUGACAAACCACACAUUGAUGGUUCCUCCGUUUGGCAUAAAACCAAGUACUCAGGUGUGUUUGAAUUAUGAAUCUAUCUAUGCAUUAGACCGACAGACAGAUAAGUAUAGUAAUUAGCAUCCUAAAUACUGCACCUUAAUAUCUGUAAUCACUGUGCAAAUUGCUGAUGAUAUUGCUCGUGUUACAGUGCUACAAAUCUGAGAGAACUGCUACCUUUCACUGUGUGUUUCACUGGACUGAACAAACUGCUGGCACCGUAAAAGUGGAGCCAUUUCAUAUUCCCUGAUGGCGGAAGAGGUCAGACAGGAAGGCCUGGGAGUAUCGCCUGACAAACACUGGGCCAGGAUCCCGCAGGUGGUUUCCAUAAGUGCCGUGGCCCUGUUCAAACUAAGAAGAAUCCUAUCAAACUCGGGAGGACCAGGAGAAGUGGAUUUUUCAUUAAAUGUAGUUAUUUUACAUGAAAUGCAAAAAAGUACGCUGAUGAAGCACGGAAGGCCACUGCACACCGCAGUACGCUGACGAAGCACGGAAGGCCACUGCACACCGCAGUACCCUGAUGAAGCACGGAAGGCCACUGCACACCGCAGUACGCUGACGAAGCACGGAAGGCCACUGCACACCGCAGUACCCUG